AAUGAUUGAUCAUAUGAUUAUCAUCGUUCUUGUAGGGAUUACUGCCAAAAAUCAGUUUCGCUCCAAGGUUUUGCAUGGCGCAUACUGAAAAAAAGUAACAGCAAUGAUGUGGGUUGAACAUUUCGAUAAUAAUAGCUCGUAAAAGUUUUGAUUUUGUUAGCGGAUAGUGGAUGUUCUUCGGAUUCAAAAUGUGAGUGUAAAAUUCAUAAGAACAGUAAAAAAAUGGCAUACUUUAAUAUGUUAUAGUUUUGGUCUUUUAUUGCGAAUAGCUCUCGUGCAGUCAAAAUCGAAAUUUUACCUGUUAUUUUCUGCGGCCGAUUUUAUUUAGGGACGAUAGUAAAGGAAUGAUAGUAGAUACGUUAAAAGAGAAAUUAGGACAGUCAGGGUUGAAUGUUACAGGCAAGAAAAAAUUGCAAUUGUGUUUGAAGUAAAUUGGGUCAAGUAAUUAUUUUAAGUUUAAACUAAAAGGAUAUUGUGCUCAGCAGUGAAAAGAGCACAGAAAAUAAGUGAUUAAAACUGACAGACUAUCAAGAGGUAUAAUACGCUAUUGAUGUUGCGAAAUAUAGAGCUAACUGUGGAAGAAUUAUUAUGGGAAAAAGGCGUGCUUACGGCAGUAGGCAGCUUUACGGAAGAGAUGACAGCAGAGGGGUUGUUAUUGAACGUUACAUUUCACGUGGUUAGGGAACAUGAUAAUCCGUAUUAAACAAUGCUCUGAAAUUAUGUACAUCAGAAUGUUCAGUAAACCUUUGAAAGUUUAUUGGAUGGCAGUGAGGCGCGCAGAAGAUGGCUUCUGGGGGUGCGUGUGGUACUGCUGAAAUUUUGUUUGUUGUUUGUUUGUGUGAAUUGGAAAGGAGUUAACGGUUGGAUUAAUAGUUACCAUCGUUAGAAGCCUUGUAAUAGGCCAGUACAGUCUAGUAAUACCAGCCGGAAUUUGAGCCACGUACAGUGCCUCAGGUGGAUCAGCAAAGUGUUGACAAAGAGGUCGCACGUAUGUAUAAAGAGGGUAUUAUUCAGAAUAUUGUGUCGGAACAAGCAUCGCCAGAAAUGUUAGUUUCAGAGAAAAGUUGAGCAAAAAGGUUUUGUCUUAUUUUUCAUGAGAAUAACGAACAAAUAAUUCGAUAAAUUUUCUAAUGACUACCAUGGGAAAAGCGUUAGACAAAAUGGGUACAAGCAGGUACAGUCCUUUUGAAUUUGAGGUUUUGAUAGCUAUAAAGCCUGCAUUAACAUAACAAGCAAUUGUAACACUUUCACUACGACUGUCAAGAAAUAAUACGUACGUGACAGGAAGAUGAGGUGAUCGACAAAAAUUCAGUUAUGUGGUAAAAUCGUCAGCUCUGAGUCUCGCAUACUGUUAUUGCAACCAGUGUGCCACGAGGAAACGAACAAUGCUAUCUAAGAAAUGUCAAAGUAACCCCAGUCAGUGGUAUCAUCACGUCGCAAAGAAAUAGAGGGGUUGAACGUAAAAUGCGAUUCAUUAAGACAAAUAGCUCAUGGAAAUAGAACAUUUAAUAAAAUACAGAAAAAGUUUUAAUACAGCAUAGACGAUUUUGUAGCUACAAAAAAACUCACUUUGGGAUGGCUACUAAAUUGAAACUGAACUAUUUUGGACAGAACAAGGAAAUCGCCAACUAGAACAUGAUAAAUACGAGUUCGAAAAAGGAAGGACCGAAGAAGACUACGACACUGGCAGAAUAUAUGAAAAAAUUAACUUAAUUAUUCGAAAUGGAAUAAUAAGUCCGGACGAUUGUAGGAAUGAAAUGGAUAAUAAACAGUAGUAGGUGGCGACAUUUACUGACCGAAAACAAACGAAGCGUCCAUUAUAACGGAUAAGAAAUAUGUAGCGGUGAUUGACUGAGCGAUAGAGAAUUCCUCCAGCAUUAGAACCUGCAACAUCGAAGGAGGGGUAUUAAGCUUUAUAAUACACAGUUUUAUUAAUCUAAAAUAAUUCUUGCUUUUCAUGUCAAUUCCCAAAUAUAAAUACUAUAUGACAAUAACUUCGACAGCUAUGAUUUGCUUGUAUUUCAUUUCCCUAAGGAUAAAGCCGCAUUAAAACAAUGGAUUCAUUUUUGUCGUCGGACGGAUUGUGGUUUUUGCUGAUGUCCCCCACUUAAUAAAACUACAAAGAAAUCAUUUUUUGGAUAAGGGCUUUACUAUCAAUGGAAAAAUUGUUAGAAAAGAUAUAAUUGUGAAGCUGCUCUCGCUAACGUCCAACGAGCUGUCCAUCACGCACAAACUUUCCCAGAAACAUUUGUCUGUGACAGGAGCAAAAAGGCAAAAGGUUAAAUUAGCCACAAAAUUGUUCUCCCACACAAUUGCUCAAGCAAUAACUCGAGCGGCUAGUUUAGGUUUACUAGAUAACGAAAAUUGGGAGGAAUGCCAUCGACUUUUUAAAAUUACAAAUGACUGGUUUGACGUAAUAAAUGUCAGGGUGCCCAAAGAUGGAGUGAGGGAACGCUUGCACGCCUACGGUUUGGCUUUGAACAAAUAAAAUAAUGUACUGGAACAGAUGACGGAGCUGGUUUCAUCAAUGAGAGUCAUUGGUAAAAAUGGUUUGCUUCCGUUCCAAAAAGGUAUACUCCAAAGCAAUAAUGCUUUGAAAUUGCUGCUGAAUGACUUAAGACAGCAGCACAAAAUUAAUUACGUUUUGACCUAUCGAUUGAACCCGGACGUUUUGGAAAUUUUUUUUGGCGUAAUCAGGUCAAAAGGCGGUCUUCACGAUCACCCUGAUAAGCAGGAGUUCAAAUAAAGGCUGCGUUCCUAUAUACUUGGUCACAACGAAGGAGCGAUCACAGAAGAAGGCAAUGUUGAAGUCGACAACACACCAGAUUUGGAAGGAAAUUACUUAUCUCUAUCCGGUAAUAUUUUUCAACGUGUGUCAGUCAAAAAAAUUAUGACUUGCAGAAUUUGGCAGGGUACAUCUGCCACAAACUCGGUAGAGACAACCCCGAAAUUUGUGCCAAUUCCGAAAAUUGUUCGUCCCAUACUUGGGUGGAUCACCUUUCAGAAGGAGGACUCUCAAAACCAACAGAUAUGUUGAUGGAGCAUAUGAGAGCCUUGCAAGCAAUAUUUGACGACGUCAAUGGUAAUGAUUUGCAUAUACAUAUGUAUGUACAAAUUACGUCCAGAAACACAUAGAUUUAAGUGAUUUUGUAAAUUGUAGCUCGAUAAUAAAAGAAUUAUUUUUCAGAGCUAAAAUGUAUUUUAGGAUUCGUUCCUUAAAUAAAAACAUA